ACGCUGGCGGCGUGCCUAAUACAUGCAAGUAGAACGCUGAAGAGAGGAGCUUGCUCUUCUUGGAUGAGUUGCGAACGGGUGAGUAACGCGUAGGUAACCUGCCUUGUAGCGGGGGAUAACUAUUGGAAACGAUAGCUAAUACCGCAUAACAAUGGAUGACACAUGUCAUUUAUUUGAAAGGGGCAAUUGCUCCACUACAAGAUGGACCUGCGUUGUAUUAGCUAGUAGGUGAGGUAAUGGCUCACCUAGGCGACGAUACAUAGCCGACCUGAGAGGGUGAUCGGCCACACUGGGACUGAGACACGGCCCAGACUCCUACGGGAGGCAGCAGUAGGGAAUCUUCGGCAAUGGGGGCAACCCUGACCGAGCAACGCCGCGUGAGUGAAGAAGGUUUUCGGAUCGUAAAGCUCUGUUGUAAGUCAAGAACGGGUGUGAGAGUGGAAAGUUCACACUGUGACGGUAGCUUACCAGAAAGGGACGGCUAACUACGUGCCAGCAGCCGCGGUAAUACGUAGGUCCCGAGCGUUGUCCGGAUUUAUUGGGCGUAAAGCGAGCGCAGGCGGUUUGAUAAGUCUGAAGUUAAAGGCUGUGGCUCAACCAUAGUUCGCUUUGGAAACUGUCAAACUUGAGUGCAGAAGGGGAGAGUGGAAUUCCAUGUGUAGCGGUGAAAUGCGUAGAUAUAUGGAGGAACACCGGUGGCGAAAGCGGCUCUCUGGUCUGUAACUGACGCUGAGGCUCGAAAGCGUGGGGAGCGAACAGGAUUAGAUACCCUGGUAGUCCACGCCGUAAACGAUGAGUGCUAGGUGUUGGAUCCUUUCCGGGAUUCAGUGCCGCAGCUAACGCAUUAAGCACUCCGCCUGGGGAGUACGACCGCAAGGUUGAAACUCAAAGGAAUUGACGGGGGCCCGCACAAGCGGUGGAGCAUGUGGUUUAAUUCGAAGCAACGCGAAGAACCUUACCAGGUCUUGACAUCCCGAUGCUAUUUCUAGAGAUAGAAAGUUACUUCGGUACAUCGGUGACAGGUGGUGCAUGGUUGUCGUCAGCUCGUGUCGUGAGAUGUUGGGUUAAGUCCCGCAACGAGCGCAACCCCUAUUGUUAGUUGCCAUCAUUCAGUUGGGCACUCUAGCGAGACUGCCGGUAAUAAACCGGAGGAAGGUGGGGAUGACGUCAAAUCAUCAUGCCCCUUAUGACCUGGGCUACACACGUGCUACAAUGGUUGGUACAACGAGUUGCGAGUCGGUGACGGCGAGCUAAUCUCUUAAAGCCAAUCUCAGUUCGGAUUGUAGGCUGCAACUCGCCUACAUGAAGUCGGAAUCGCUAGUAAUCGCGGAUCAGCACGCCGCGGUGAAUACGUUCCCGGGCCUUGUACACACCGCCCGUCACACCACGAGAGUUUGUAACACCCGAAGUCGGUGAGGUAACCUUUUGGAGCCAGCCGCCUAAGGUGGGACAGAUGAUUG
rnacentral:rRNA from 1 species